AUACUCUGGUUUCUCUUCAUUGUAUAUAAGUCUUCUGUCAGGAGGAGGCCUGCCCAUUGCACUCUGGAUAGGCUGACUGACCCCUGCGAGUUUCCCAAAUGUGGGAAAUGUCACUACACAAUUUUGUGGUAAUGGGGAACUACAUUUGCACUUUCCCC
rnacentral:snRNA from 12 species